rnacentral:tRNA from 1 species
GAGGGUGUAGCUUAGUGGUAGAGCAUGCACCUAGCAUGUGUAAAGUCCUGGGUUUCAUCUUCG